AUACUUACCUGGCAGGAGAAAUACCACAAUCAAAAAGGUGGUUUCCCCAGUAUGAGGCUCUUCCAUUACACACUUUGGAUUUACCCUGUGAUUUCCUCAAAUAUGUGAAACUCAUCUGCAUAGUUUCUGGCUUUGCAGACUGCCUCAAGGCCCUGUG